rnacentral:rRNA from 1 species
UUUUAUGGAGAGUUUGAUCCUGGCUCAGGAUGAACGCUGGCGGCGUGCCUAAUACAUGCAAGUCGAGCGAACGGACGAGAAGCUUGCUUCUCUGAUGUUAGCGGCGGACGGGUGAGUAACACGUGGAUAACCUACCUAUAAGACUGGGAUAACUUCGGGAAACCGGAGCUAAUACCGGAUAAUAUUUUGAACCGCAUGGUUCAAAAGUGAAAGACGGUCUUGCUGUCACUUAUAGAUGGAUCCGCGCUGCAUUAGCUAGUUGGUAAGGUAACGGCUUACCAAGGCAACGAUGCAUAGCCGACCUGAGAGGGUGAUCGGCCACACUGGAACUGAGACACGGUCCAGACUCCUACGGGAGGCAGCAGUAGGGAAUCUUCCGCAAUGGGCGAAAGCCUGACGGAGCAACGCCGCGUGAGUGAUGAAGGUCUUCGGAUCGUAAAACUCUGUUAUUAGGGAAGAACAUAUGUGUAAGUAACUGUGCACAUCUUGACGGUACCUAAUCAGAAAGCCACGGCUAACUACGUGCCAGCAGCCGCGGUAAUACGUAGGUGGCAAGCGUUAUCCGGAAUUAUUGGGCGUAAAGCGCGCGUAGGCGGUUUUUUAAGUCUGAUGUGAAAGCCCACGGCUCAACCGUGGAGGGUCAUUGGAAACUGGAAAACUUGAGUGCAGAAGAGGAAAGUGGAAUUCCAUGUGUAGCGGUGAAAUGCGCAGAGAUAUGGAGGAACACCAGUGGCGAAGGCGACUUUCUGGUCUGUAACUGACGCUGAUGUGCGAAAGCGUGGGGAUCAAACAGGAUUAGAUACCCUGGUAGUCCACGCCGUAAACGAUGAGUGCUAAGUGUUAGGGGGUUUCCGCCCCUUAGUGCUGCAGCUAACGCAUUAAGCACUCCGCCUGGGGAGUACGACCGCAAGGUUGAAACUCAAAGGAAUUGACGGGGACCCGCACAAGCGGUGGAGCAUGUGGUUUAAUUCGAAGCAACGCGAAGAACCUUACCAAAUCUUGACAUCCUUUGACAACUCUAGAGAUAGAGCUUUCCCCUUCGGGGGACAAAGUGACAGGUGGUGCAUGGUUGUCGUCAGCUCGUGUCGUGAGAUGUUGGGUUAAGUCCCGCAACGAGCGCAACCCUUAAGCUUAGUUGCCAUCAUUAAGUUGGGCACUCUAAGUUGACUGCCGGUGACAAACCGGAGGAAGGUGGGGAUGACGUCAAAUCAUCAUGCCCCUUAUGAUUUGGGCUACACACGUGCUACAAUGGACAAUACAAAGGGCAGCGAAACCG